ensembl:lncRNA
GUGUAAUUGCCUCCACAUGCUUAAGUUUAUUUAGCUCCUCUCGCAUCCACAAAACAAAACAGCAGUAAAAAAUCGAUCACCGUCUCGUUUCACAGCUGCGGGGGAGGGCGCUGGCAGCGGCGCACGGCGCUCCUCGCUCAGCUGCUGUGGGUGCGAGGCGCUGAUCUGCCAGCGCAGGGUAGCGGUGGCCCUUUACCCACACAGCUCCGAGCCGAUGGGGUCUCAGACAGCAUUCUGUGCUGGGGAUGGCCGGUGUGCCCCGUGCUACUGCGAACAGCAGCUGGGUGGCUCAGACGAGGCUCCUCAGGGCUCCGUGUUGCUCCCGGCUUUGGUCUGACAGCAUCUUUCUGCAAUAUGAUCAGUAUCAGGAAUUGAAGCACACAGCGAGGGCAGAUUUCCGAGUCAGAUGCUGUUGUCAGGUGUGGAAGGAAACAACCCCGUAACGGGAGAUGCAGGAAGGCCCUUUUAGGUACUGGAAGGCCACUGGAAGGUCUCUCAGGAGCCUUCUCCUGAACUCCCUCAGCCUAUCUUCAUGGCAGUGGUUCUCCAACCCUCUCAGCAUCCUUGUGGACUCCUCCUGACCCACUCCAACAGACCCAUGUCUUUCUUACACUGAUAAACCUAGAGCUGAACGCUCUUCCUGCAAUCGGUCCUUGUUGGAAAGAGCUAGAAUGCAGCACGCUCCAUUCAAGUUUUAGCACAUGUACCGUACUCCUUCAGCCUUGGCUUUGUCCUUCAUAGGAAAUGGUAUAGCAGUCCUAUUGCUUGCAAGCAAGAAUGGAAAGUUUGGGUUCCUGCUUUAUCAGUAAUGCACAUGGAGCUGAUUUUUGUAUUUUACUUUGUUUCAUAAGUUUGACUUGUUCCCACUGAGGAAGAAAAGAAUCUCAAAAGUUCUCCCUGGAGAUCUUUGUUAAUAAUGACAUGUUAUGUGAAAACAUAAUCCUAAUUCAUGGGUUUCUCUUUUUCUCAAAGAACAGACUCUUAUUUCUCAGGCUGUUCUGCUCUUCCCUUAAUCAGUUAUCUUCUAUCCUUUUAAAAAGCCCACUCUGAAAGGAUAUAAUCCAAACCAUGGUUAUUUCCACGGGUAGAUUAACUGAAUGAUACAUGUUAGAUCCAAGCCAAUGCAAUUUCCUUCAAGAGAAAAGGAGUGGAUUUCAUAAGAAUUUGAUGACUUGUAGGCUUUGAAAAUAUUUUUUUUGUUCUCCCACAUGCUCAGACAAGAUCUGUGCUGUGAGCAUGUUGCCAAGAGUUACUGUAGACCUUUAUUAUGUAAAUAAAAGUGAAAACAGUGCACGAGUGCAAACAUCUAGUGGUGGAGUAAUAUAAACUCAUUGAACUCAGUGACCUCGUUUCUUUUUCAGUUGCAUAAAAGGACUUGAUCUUUCUUGUGCUGGUCUUCAUUGCAGUGAGCAUGGUUGGCUUCACCUUGCUUUUUGGUGGGAGCCCUUCUGUGGUGUGUGUAACCCCCACACCCGUCACCUCAUGUCCUCUCUGUAGUGCUUUGUCACGUUUCCCCUUCACGUUACUUGCUGUAGCCUUUUGCAAUACAGCUUAGCAUAAAAGAGUCUUCCCAUGCUCUUUGUUGCUUGAGUUGUUUUGAAUUCCCAAGCUCUUCACCCUUUUCCCUGAAGUUACACAGAGUGCUUCUCUGUGUUUGAGCAUCUUGAACCUCCCACACAUCAGCAGUGUUUGUUAAUACAAGAAGCAUUAGAAAUGAGAAAACACAGUGGAGAUGAAAUGGUUGGUUUGUGUAGGCAUAGAUUUUAUGAAAUGAA